rnacentral:tRNA from 1 species
GGCCGGUUAGCUCAGUCGGUUGAGCCUGGUGCUGAUAACACCAGGGUCGCGGGUUCGAUCCCUGUUCGGUCC